rnacentral:rRNA from 1 species
CCUACGGGGGGCUGCAGUAAGGAAUAUUGGUCAAUGGACGCAAGUCUGAACCAGCCAUGCCGCGUGGAGGAUGAAGGUCCUCUGGAUUGUAAACUUCUUUUAUUUGGGAAGAAACUCCCGAUUUCCAUCGGGAUUGACGGUACCAGAUGAAUCAGCACCGGCUAACUCCGUGCCAGCAGCCGCGGUAAUACGGAGGGUGCAAGCGUUAUCCGGAUUCAUUGGGUUGAAGGGGUGCGGGGAAGUCAGGGGAGAAAUCUCGGGGCUUAACCCGGGAACUGCCAUUGAUACUAUUUGUCUUGAAUAGUCUGGAGGUGAGCGGAAUAUGUCAUGUAGCGGUGAAAUGCUUAGAUAUGACAUAGAACACCCAUUGCGAAGGCAGCUCACUACGGAAAUAUUGACGCUGAGGCACGAAAGCGUGGGGAUCAAACAGGAUUAGAUACCCUUGUAGUC